ncrna:unclassified sequences DTF805b RNA
GCGGAGGAAGCCGAAAAUCUGGAAAAGAGUAGGCA